UCUAUGUAUGAAUAGGAUAAUAGUUUGACUGAGCAGCCUAGCAGCUUGAAGUAUCUUUCCACGCUUUCAAUAUUGCUGCCAAAAGAAGAGACCAGCUUUCAUGUUCUGUUCCUUCUGGAGGUUCAAACGAUGGUGAGGUGCAAGCUCGUCAAACGAUUGAAAAGUGUAGUCAAAGUAUGUUUCGUAGUGUUACUGAACUUUCAUUGGGUGAUGAAAGAUUAUCCAACUUGGCUACUGCUGACAUGGACAAAGCAUUAAAAGGCUUGGUUGCUCGUGAACCUGUUUCUGACUUUCCUGAUGAUUCUUCUGGGAGAUUGCUAGUCGUUCGCCUUAUUCAGGCGAUUUUCACUCUGAAUGCCAUAUUCCUGGCCGGAAGGCUCCCCUGGAUUUUAUAGUGAAAACUUAUAUGAGAGUCGUUUCAUCUGUAAGACUUGAUGUGGCCACAUGCCACAAUUAUGCAGUUCACGGUGGUUUAAAGGAAUUAUUAAUUACCUUUUUUGAUCCUUGAUAAGAGGUUAAAAGCAGUUAAUAAGAGUUAUUUGGUCCUUAGGUUAGCCAUAUAUAAGGAUAUUAUCUUCUCCAUCAAAAUGAUAUUACGUAAAUGCAAAAGGGAGAAAGGUUCUGGAGGCAUAAGCUAGAAGACAUUUCUCAAAUACUCACUCACAAAUCAUUCACGUUUUUGCUUUCUACAACACUUGAGCAAUAUGGCUGGAGGUAAGUGAUUAAAUUUCGUAUUAUAUUAUAAUAUUUCACAUCAUCUUCAUCUGUAAAUU